CUCAGGGGCAGCGCCCACCUGCCGGGGGCUCCUGCUCACACGUCUUCAGGUCGUACUGCGGGGUGGGCCCUCCGUUCCGCCUCUCCGUGGGCCUCUCUCCAGGACCACAGCUGCCAGGGACUUUAGACAUCACCCUGGGAGGCCCCUGGACACAGAGGGCUGUGUGCCCAGGAGCAAAUCCGGAGGGGGGCCCUCCUGGCUGCACAGCCCCUUCUGCGUGCCCUGGUCCCAGCCCCAGCCAACGGGACACGGAAGGCUCCCCUCCCUGACACACCACACUGCCACAAAGCUGCUUACUCUGCCCUGGGCCGCCUGAGGCCUGGCACUGCCCGCGGACCACCCUGUGUGUGUCAUCCUGAGGGGCUGUGUGGGUCCUGAGUCCCCAGCCAGCCUUCAGGGUCCCCUUGGAUUGUGUAGAUGCAGUCUAGCGGGGGGCCGGAGAAGGGCUCAGGUGGGAGGGGCCUCAGCAGGCUCCCAGCUCAGGGGCUGGCCUGGGGGGAACCCUGGGAGCCAGGGGCUGACUCCAGCAACACUGGCCUGUCUGCCUGUUCUGGGAGGGCUGUGAGGAUGUCUUGCAGAUGCUCUGGAUUUCUGCGGAGGCACCUCCAUUCCUUUCUGGCUUUUUUUGCGGGGGAGGGCUUUGGGCCUCUUUCUUUGAGGGAACACCGUCAAAGAAAGCCUGGGAGAUCGAGGCUGCAGUGAGCCAGGAUGGAAACGCCUGUCCCAAGGGUCCGGAGCAGGCGGCAGAGGCCUCAGUGCGGCAAACACAGCCCCAGAGCCUGUGUGGCACCAGCAGCAUCUUAGAGCCCCAGGUAUAUGCUGAGAUCUUAUCUCACGCUGUCCUCCAGUGUCUGGGGGGCACAAAUGAUGGCACAGGGGCAGGUGGGCUGGAGGGGCGCAGAUGCCUGUGUUCAGGGAGGGUGGCCACCAUGGGCCGAGGUCUCACCCAGGACCCCUUGCUCUGCUCCUCAGCCUUGCAGUCACGGCAGCACUAUGGUGGACUGCCCAUGGCCGUGUGACUUUGGGGGCAAGUGGGAGGGCGCCCUGAAUAAUGAUUGCAAGGACAACAGGCAGAGGCUACCCUAGAGCAGGACACAGGGUGUAGUACUGACAACCCUAGUAUCACCUCAAAUCCAUGUCCCCACACUCUGGGCAUGGGUGGGACUUGUGACCCUGCCCUGUCAGGCGGACCAGUGGCCCAGGAGCCAUGAGGACAGUUGUGUGCCACUGGAAGAGAAACUUUGAAAAACCCUAAAUCAGGUAGAGAAAGCAAAAAAUCUUUGGCCGUAAACCGUGCUCUCUAAUUUAUCGGCAGCUUCUGUGGAUGACCUCUGAUGAGCCUGGGCUGCGUCCAGGCCCUGGGCAGGUUCUGUUUUCAAAGUUGUUCUCCCCUU
rnacentral:lncRNA from 1 species